UACGAAGGGGGCUAGCGUUGCUCGGAAUCACUGGGCGUAAAGCGCACGUAGGCGGCUUUCUAAGUCAGGGGUGAAAUCCUGGAGCUCAACUCCAGAACUGCCUUUGAUACUGAGAAGCUUGAGUCCGGGAGAGGUGAGUGGAACUGCGAGUGUAGAGGUGAAAUGCGUAGAGAUCCGGAGGAACACCAAAGGCGAAGGCAGUGUCCUGGGGAGUACCUGACGCUCAGGUGCGAAAGCCAGGGGAGCGAACGGG
rnacentral:rRNA from 1 species